GGGCUAGCGGGGAUGCUUACACAUGCAGUCGAACGGCAGCACGGACUUCGGUCUGGUGGCGAGUGGCGAACGGGUGAGUAAUGUAUCGGAACGUGCCCAGUAGCGGGGGAUAACUACGCGAAAGCGUAGCUAAUACCGCAUACGCCCUACGGGGGAAAGCAGGGGAUCUUCGGACCUUGCACUAUUGGAGCGGCCGAUAUCGGAUUAGCUAGUUGGUGGGGUAACGGCCUACCAAGGCGACGAUCCGUAGCUGGUUUGAGAGGACGACCAGCCACACUGGGACUGAGACACGGCCCAGACUCCUACGGGAGGCAGCAGUGGGGAAUUUUGGACAAUGGGGGAAACCCUGAUCCAGCCAUCCCGCGUGUGCGAUGAAGGCCUUCGGGUUGUAAAGCACUU
rnacentral:rRNA from 1 species